rnacentral:rRNA from 1 species
GACAGAGGGUGCAAUCGUUGUUCGGAUUUACUGGGCGUAAAGCGCGUGUAGGCGGCUUUGCAAGUCGGAUGUGAAAUCCCACGGCUCAACCGUGGAAGUGCAUCCGAAACUGCAUCGCUCGAGUCUCGGAGAGGAAGGUGGAAUGCUUGGUGUAGAGGUGAAAUUCGUAGAUAUCAAGCAGAACACCUGCGGCGAAGGCGGCCUUCUGGACGAUGACUGACGCUGAGACGCGAAAGCGUGGGGAGCAAACAGG